UACGUAGGGUGCGAGCGUUGUCCGGAAUUAUUGGGCGUAAAGGGCUCGUAGGCGGUUUGUCGCGUCGGGAGUGAAAACCUCGGGCUUAACUCGGGGCUUGCUUUCGAUACGGGCAGACUAGAGGUAUGCAGGGGAGAACGGAAUUCCUGGUGUAGCGGUGAAAUGCGCAGAGUAUCAGGAGGAACACCGGUGGCGAAGGCGGAUCUCUGGGCCGAUACUGACGCUGAGGAGCGAAAGCGUGGGGAGCGAACAGG
rnacentral:rRNA from 1 species